rnacentral:rRNA from 1 species
UUCUGGCUCAGGAUGAACGCUAGCGACAGGCUUAACACAUGCAAGUCGAGGGCAGCAUAGAAGUAGCAAUACUUGGUGGCGACCGGCGCACGGGUGAGUAACGCGUAUGCAACCUACCUAUCAGAGGGGAAUAACCCGGCGAAAGUCGGACUAAUACCGCAUAAAACAGGGCACCGCAUGGUGAUAUUUGUUAAAGAAAUUCGCUGAUAGAUGGGCAUGCGUUCCAUUAGGUAGUUGGUGAGGUAACGGCUCACCAAGCCGACGAUGGAUAGGGGAACUGAGAGGUUGGUCCCCCACACUGGUACUGAGACACGGACCAGACUCCUACGGGAGGCAGCAGUGAGGAAUAUUGGUCAAUGGGCGGGAGCCUGAACCAGCCAAGUCGCCGUGAAGGAAGAAGGAUCUAUGGUUCGUAAACUUCUUUUGCAGGGGAAUAAAGUGCAGGACGUGUCCUGUUUUGUAUGUACCCUGAGAAUAAGGAUCGGCUAACUCCGUGCCAGCCGCGGC